rnacentral:rRNA from 1 species
AUGACAUCUCCGACUGAUAAAGCAGCAGCAGCUAGCAAGGUCGCAUCUGAUGCUGUUGCGGCGACAUCAGCUAGUGUUUCUAAUGACCCUGUAGAUCAGCUUAUUGCAGCGGCAACUAUUACUGUUGUUGUUGAAGAUAUCGCUAGCGCGGCUGAGGCUGUUGAAUGUGAAAAUGAAGUCAUUGCCAAUGUAGGGCAUGAUGAAGGUGAAGUCGUUCGUGUCAUUGAAGAAGUUGUGGGAGGUACCCUAGUCAAUAUGCCUAUUGAUAUGGCUACAGCUGGAGGUCAAGAGAAUGAUGCCCAGAAUCAUGCGGCCACAGUAGCUGACCCUGUGUUGGAGUCGAGCACCCCUGGAGCUGGAGAAUACGAUGGUAAUUUUAUGCCACCCAGCUGCUCUCUUGGGCUUGAUGCCAUCUUUGGUGCGAGUCCACAAGUGCCACCAUCUACUAAAGCAACUCCAACAGCUCAAGCUGCAUCAGCAUUGGUGAUAAAACAGGUAGUAGUCCCUCAUUGA